rnacentral:rRNA from 1 species
GAUGAACGCUGGCGGCGUGCCUAAUACAUGCAAGUCGAGCGAACAGACGAGGAGCUUGCUCCUCUGACGUUAGCGGCGGACGGGUGAGUAACACGUGGAUAACCUACCUAUAAGACUGGGAUAACUUCGGGAAACCGGAGCUAAUACCGGAUAACAUGUUGAACCGCAUGGUUCAACAGUGAAAGACGGUCUUGCUGUCACUUAUAGAUGGAUCCGCGCCGCAUUAGCUAGUUGGUAAGGUAACGGCUUACCAAGGCAACGAUGCGUAGCCGACCUGAGAGGGUGAUCGGCCACACUGGAACUGAGACACGGUCCAGACUCCUACGGGAGGCAGCAGUAGGGAAUAUUCCGCAAUGGGCGAAAGCCUGACGGAGCAACGCCGCGUGAGUGAAGAAGGUCUUCGGAUCGUAAAACUCUGUUAUUAGGGAAGAACAAAUGUGUAAGUAACUAUGCACGUCUUGACGGUACCUAAUCAGAAAGCAACGGCUAACUACGUG